UCGGUAGCUCAGUUGGUAGAGCAUACGAUUGAAGCUCGUAGUGUCGGGGGUUCGAUUCCCUCCCGCGCC
rnacentral:tRNA from 1 species